rnacentral:lncRNA from 1 species
CUUGCCGAUCCUCCCAGCUGAAUAAAGCCCUUCCUUCUACAACUUGGUGUCUGAGAGGUUUUGUCUGCGGCUCGUCCUGCUACAUUUCUUGGUCCCCUGACCGGGAAUCGAGGUAACUGAGGGAUGGCCGAGGCAGCCCCUUAGGCAGCUUAGGCCUGCCCUGUGGAGCAUCCCUGCAGGGGACUCUGGCCAGCCUGAGUGAUGCGAUCCAAAGAGCACUCCUGGGUAGGAAAUUGCCUGGGUGGAACGCCUCACCAGAACAGCACGUAGCAGGCCCCCGUGGAGGAUUAACACAGUGGCUGAACACCGGGAAGGAACUGGCACUUGGAGUCCGGACAUCUGAAACUUGAGUUGACAAGCCGACAUCAGUCUCCAGAGUGAAUCCAAGGAGUGGACCCAAGACAUUUGUGUUCUGUGAUGUGGUGGCAUGUUACCUGUCAUCUCUGAUGCAUAACUCCUAAAGUGUUUGCGUCUGGGGCAGUUGUACAGAUUGCAAAGGAUAAUACUCAAGAUGUCCUCCAAGGCCAACUACUCAUCAGUUUAUUCAUGUUUCUGGGACUGGAUUCAUGAAUUCAUCCUUUCAACUAUUUCAACAAGCUUUUUCAUGUAACUAAUCUGUGGAAGGUAGAAAGGGGAAAACUGUUGGGUGCUAAAAUGACAACUGGUUCAAGGUACAAUGGCGAAUAUUUUUAUUUCUGCAACUUUUCUUAGAGGUUGGAAACUAGACUGGGCAGGAAGAUUCCUUUUUGUAAGAUUAGUCUCCAGUUUUCAUCAAGCAGUUUAGUGGGGUAUUUUAGGCCCAGUUCCCUCUCCACAGUCCCCAAAGGUCUUCUGUUAACUUUAAAUCAGCAAAGAGAGAGAUCUCUGCCAAGUAGCAACUGCAAGAGCAUGUGGGUCAAAGUUACCAGCAGACACUCAAAGCCCAUUCCCUUUACUUCAACACCGCUUUAUAAAUUAUUUUAGAGACGUUGUCAGGUUGGUAUCAGAGGUGAGUGGUCAUGACUUCAUGAUUUCUCAUCUUUCUGAAUGCAUAGUGGCUGGGAGUGGUGGCUCAUGCCUGUAAUCCCAGCACUUUGGGAGGCCGAGGUGGGCAGACUGUUUGACCACAGGAGU